GAUGAAGAACGCAGCGAAAUGCGAUAAGUAGUGUGAAUUGCAGAAUUCAGUGAAUCAUCGAAUCUUUGAACGCACAUUGCGCCCCUUGGUAUUCCAUGGGGCAUGCCUGUUCGAGCGUCAUUUGUACCUUCAAGCCUUGCUUGGUGUUGGGUGUUUGUCUCGCCUCUGCGCGCAGACUCGCCUCAAAACAAUUGGCAGCCGGCGUAUUGAUUUCGGAGCGCAGUACAUCUCGCGCUUUGCACUCAGAACGACGACGUCCAAAAGUACAUUUUUACACUCUUGACCUCGGAUCAGGUAGGGAUACCCGCUGAACUUAAGAAUAUCAAUAAGCGGAGGA
rnacentral:misc_RNA from 1 species